rnacentral:rRNA from 1 species
AACGAACGCUGGCGGCAGGCCUAACACAUGCAAGUCGAGCGCCCGCAAGGGAGCGGCGGACGGGUAAGUAACGCGUGGGAACGUGCCCUUUGCUACGGAAUAGCCUCGGGAAACUGAGAGUAAUACCGUAUGUGCCCUUCGGGGGAAAGAUUUUUCGGCAAAGGAUCGGCCCGCGUUGGAUUAGGUAGUUGGUGGGGUAAUGGCCUACCAAGCCGACGAUCCAUAGCUGGUUUGAGAGGAUGAUCAGCCACACUGGGACUGAGACACGGCCCAGACUCCUACGGGAGGCAGCAGUGGGGAAUCUUAGACAAUGGGCGCAAGCCUGAUCUAGCCAUGCCGCGUGAGCGAUGAAGGCCUUAGGGUUGUAAAGCUCUUUCGUGGGGGAAGAUAAUGACGGUACCCCAAGAAGAAGCCCCGGCUAACUCCGUGCCAGCCGCCGCGGUAACAC